UUUUUGUCUCCUCGUUUUCACACCAAUCCAGAUUCACUAUUGUUCAUUAACAGGUUCACUAUUGUUUACUAAAUAUCUCCCCUAUAAAGGUACUUUUUGAUCUCUUCUCUUUCUUCAUACGUACUUGACGUUUGUAUCUCCAUUUCUAUCGGACUCCAACAUCGACUUUGGGUACGAGGACGAAGGGGAUUUGGAUUUCAUCGAACUUCAACAUACAGUCUGGGUAUGAGGACGAAGGAGACGAAGACGAUGAAGAAGAAGGAUCCGUUGCGGUGGUCGGCAAGGUGGAGAAGAACCUGAAGCUCGACAUCAGCGACCGCGAGGCCAAGCAAAUCUACAUAAGUACCAUACUUCACCCUUUUGACUACAGUCUUUACAGAAGGUGAGGCUCAGGGCACCUCAGCAACAGUGCCGACAGCAAAGAAAGAAAAGAAUAAAAGAGAGAGCAACCAUAGCUUUGUUCCUGAAUCUAAUGAAGACACGAGGGACAUUCCCGGAAGCUGUGCUUCUUAAAGAAAUGUUUUUCUUCUUCUAAGACCUUGACCACUACUUUUUUGGAGGUAUUUAUGAUUUUAUCUUCGAAAGUACUUCAAUUACAAGUCUGAUUAUGAAGUUAUGAGAGAGAGCUACAAUAUACAGUUUAAAAUUAGUUCAAUUUCAAGCCUCAAAAAUUUGCUAUAGAAAUCAUUUUGCAUACUUUGGUCACUUAGAAAAAUUUCGUUUGCCAUAGACUUGUAUUAAUAUUUUGCGUUGUGCCUUAUCAUUUAUUCUUUAGCUACAGUAAUCUUAGUUUAUUGUGCCAAGACAUGGAUAAACUAUAAAGUGGAAGUAUGGAGGAGUAUUUUGAAAUUUAUAGGUCUUUGUCCAUUUCUUUAAGAAGGAAUAAGGAUGAUACCAGUCACAAUAGGUUCUUGUCAUUUUGCAACGUGAUUACUUUAAAUAUUGACCUCACAUAAUGAAAUGGAGCAAUGCUAUGAGAAAUCUAUGUUUUGUGAAAUAUGUACUCAAUUUGAAAGGCAAGUGCCAAUGCUUGUUAGAUCAACCUUUUUGUACUAAAUUUUGUCUAUGAAAUGGCAAUUAUUCAUAAGGCGAAUAAAACUUUUAAGAUGGAUGUAUGGCGAUAAAAGAAUGGAUGAAAUAAGAAAUGAAUACCCAUAACAAAUCGAGAUGAUUCGAUUGAAGAUAAACAGGAAAAAAAUGAUGACCUAAAUUGUCAGACAUGGACCGUGUAUAAUUGUUCACAAGAAUCAAUGAGGUCCCAAAAGAAAACAUGUUAGAAGAGAAAGUUGUAAAACAAAAGUAAGUGAUGUGAUUAAAAUAUAUAGUUUUAUUAGGCCAUUCAAUAAUAGUCUUAGAUCAGAUGGUGUGAUGAAGAAAGACUUCAACCCCAAGUUACUAGGACUAUUUUUAGAACUUAUCCAAAAAGAAGUGCUUCUGGCAAGCAUUUUACUGUUGAAUAUGAGAAUAAUAGGAACAGAAGAAGCUCUAACAUCGUGGAAGUAUUUCAGCCUCAAAUCUUUGACUCCAGUGUUCCAAAGAUUUUGUGUGAAUGUGGAUUUGGAUUUUUAUUUAUGAGAGAAUGCAGGUAUGUUGGAAAUAUUCAUAGCCAGGCACUAACCCACUUCAUGAAGUUUUUGCUACUACUAUUCAUGUUCAAAGCUUCGAGCUUGUUAGAAAAGAAAAGGUCCAGUCUUUGUACCCUUUUUUUAAUAGCCUUUGAGGCUAAAAUUUUAACGGGAUGCGAUAAUCAUGUUAGUUUUGGGUUGUGAAAAUUUUGAUUGUCUUCUUGUAUAGUAGCGGUUAUUGUUCUUGAAAAAUGGAAAACUUAUAUGUUAUUUUGCAAUACUUGAUUGUUCAUUGAAGGUCUAAUUUUUAUACCUUAAAGGAGUAAUUCUUAUAUUUCACGUGAUCCUAUUCGAUGGUUUCAUUCCUAUCGGAUUCAAAUAAUGAAUGCUGUUAUAGUCUCUUUAUGUUUAAUGGAAUAUGUUUCAUUAUAUAUAUAUAUAUAUAUAUAUAUAUAUAUAUAUAAGUAUUUUAUUUUCGUUUUAAUCAUGUUAAACAUUCACAUACGAGAACAAAAUAUGGGGUUAUGGAAGAAUGAAAUACUAAGCUCUACUAUAGAAGCUCCAAGGUCUACCAGUUUUGUUAGCACACUUGUAUUGGCAAAGAACAGGACAAAGAGGCCUACCAUUCUUUCUGGUUUUCAAAAGUACAGAGGUGGAUAAGAUAUUGCCAAUAGACAUUACCUGGCUGUACACUCAAAAAUGAAGACAAGGGAUCACUUUUACACAAAUUGAUUGUAAAGUUGUACAGAAAUUGGACAUUCAUAACCUAAAGUAUGUAUAUUUCAUAAAUUUCUCUUUUGGUCAGAGAGGCAAACUAUGACUUUGUAGGAAGAGGCCGUAGUGGACGAAGAUAUGAUCAUGGUCGUGGCCGUGGGUACAACAGAGAUCCAACCAACAACGAGAAUUUGCAUGGAAAUAUGAAAAUUUUAGGUGGUCAAGGUGCAUUUGGAUAAGUAGUGUAUAUUCUAGUCAUUUGUAGGGAUAAAUUUGAUUAACACAGAACCAAAAUGUCCGCAUGAACAUGUCCCUAAGAUGUAAUCCGGGUAGUGUAUUUUGUGUAAUCCAGUCCGAUCGAACUGUCGAGAAUUACAGAUUUCUAUUUGUCGGGAAUGACAAAUUAACCGUUGGACUGUAGAUCUAUAUUUUGUACCACGUUCAGCGGAUGUUAUGAAAUGGUGUUUAUCAUUAGCUGAAUUGACUCCACGGAUUACGAUGUUCCAAA